GGCACUUUGGCCGAGUGGUUAAGGCGAAAGACUUGAAUAGAAGUAUCUCCGGAUUUUCAAUAUUACAAGGUUAUCUUUUGGGAUUUUCCCGCGCAGGUUCGAGUCCUGCAGGUGUCG
rnacentral:tRNA from 1 species